GGGGCUGUAGCUCAGUUGGGAGAGUACCUGAAUGGCAUUCAGGGGGUCGUCGGUUCGAGCCCGAUCAGCUCCA
rnacentral:tRNA from 1 species